GACGAACGCUGGCGGCGUGCCUAAUACAUGCAAGUCGAGCGCAGGAAACUGACGGAACUCUUCGGAGGGAAGGCAGUGGAAUGAGCGGCGGACGGGUGAGUAACACGUAAGGAACCUGCCUCAAGGAUUGGGAUAACUCCGAGAAAUCGGAGCUAAUACCGGAUAGUUCAACGGACCGCAUGGUCCGCUGAUGAAAGGCGCUCCGGCGUCACCUUGAAGUGGCCUUGGGGUGCAUUAGCUAGUUGGUGGGGUAACGGCCCACCAAGGCGACGAUGCAUAGCCGACCUGAGAGGGUGAUCGGCCACACUGGGACUGAGACACGGCCCAGACUCCUACGGGAGGCAGCAGUAGGGAAUCUUCCACAAUGGACGAAAGUCUGAUGGAGCAACGCCGCGUGAGUGAUGAAGGUUUUCGGAUCGUAAAACUCUGUUGUAAGGGAAGAACACGUACGAGAGGGAAUGCUCGUACCUUGACGGUACCUUACGAGAAAGCCACGGCUAACUACGUGCCAGCCGCCGCCGUAACAC
rnacentral:rRNA from 1 species